rnacentral:rRNA from 1 species
AUACGUAGGGAGCGAGCGUUGUCCGGAAUUACUGGGUGUAAAGGGAGCGUAGGCGGGAGUGCAAGUCAGAUGUGAAAUACAUGGGCUCAACCCAUGGGCUGCAUUUGAAACUGCAUUUCUUGAGUGAAGUAGAGGUAAGCGGAAUUCCUGGUGUAGCGGUGAAAUGCGUAGAUAUCAGGAGGAACACCGGUGGCGAAGGCGGCUUACUGGGCUUUUACUGACGCUGAGGAUCGAAAGCGUGGGGAGCAAACAGGAUUAGAUACCCUGGUAGUCCACGUUGUAAACGAUGAUUACUAGGUGUGGGGGGACUGACCCCUUCCGUGCCGCAGUUAACACAAUAAGUAUUCCACCUGGGGAGUACGGCCGCAAGGUUGAAACUUAAAGGAAUUGACGGGG